rnacentral:lncRNA from 1 species
CAAUUCUUCUUUAAAAUGCGGAUAAAAUUUCGUAUUAAAAAUGUAAAUAGAAGAAUUAAAAUUCAAAAGCAGAAACAAAGACUAAUUGGUCAAAAGAAAUAUAUUAAGAUUUUAUUAUAAUAUAUCUAUUAAAAUGUUUUUUUUUUUUAACUAUUUCGUUUUUUUUUUAUUAUCGAACAUCUUUUCUUUGCUGUCAGCAGAAACAAUAAAAGCGAAGAGUGCAAAACGUAAAACGUUUGCUAUCUCUCUCUAGCGCUUGCCUCUCUGAGAUCUGAGAGAGCUGGGUGAAUAAACUGGUGAUCCUCCACUCAGCUGAUGACGUUACCUAUUAGUAAUUCUACCAUGCGUGUGACCACGGUUCCGUAAAAAUAAACAAAAGUGCAGUUAAAAGUGAAAAUGGACAAGCGGUAAGUAAUUUCUAAUUUGGUUUUGUGUGUUGUAUUAAGGAACUAAUUCUAUAUUUGCAGUUUAAAAGAAGCUCUUACUGGCUACGAAACUGAGGAAGUGAUUGAAUACGAUAUUGAAUUGAUAUUGAAUUUGAAAAGCUAUAGAACGAACAUUUGUUUUUCCAGGGCCCCAAUACCUGAACCCCUGGCGAUCGAAAAUAGAGUACUUGAGGCGCCAGAUUCUGAGGCGGGGGAAAUAAUGACAACGCGACCAAUAGGCGCGAGGUCCAUGCAUGCACGAAACAUUUGCCAAAUCCCUGCCUAACAUCAGGCUCGAGGACGGAGGGCAGCACAGACACACAUGCCAGCAAGAAAAACACCAACUACAACUAUUCAUCUUUGCACUUUUCUUGCUCAGCGCACUCUGACUCUGUCAAAGAUCAUGACGGACAACCGUUUUACUUCCAAAGAUUUAUCAAACUCCCUCAGGGAUUCGAAGAUGCGCCAGUGUUCGUCUAUGCGCAGCAGUGCCCAGGAGACUGCGGUCAUUGCGGCAAGUUUCGCAGCAACAAAAUACGACACACUACGGUUUGCAACCUUACUCAAAAGCCAUACGUAUGCCUACAGCUGUGCAGCUUGUAUUAUUCAAUAACAG